CACGGGGGGAGCAAGCGUUGUUCGGAAUCACUGGGCGUAAAGGGCGUGUAGGCGGUCAAGUAAGUGGAAUGUGAAAGCCCCCGGCUUACCCGGGGAUCUGCAUCCCAAACUGCUUGGCUUGAGUACGGGAGAGGAUAGGGGAAUUCCUGGUGUAGCGGUGAAAUGCGUAGAUAUUGGGAGGAACACCAGUGGCGAAGGCGGCUCACUGGACCGGUACUGACGCUGAUGCGCGAAAGCGUGGGGAGCAAACGGG
rnacentral:rRNA from 1 species